UACAGAGGUCUCAAGCGUUGUUCGGAUUCAUUGGGCGUAAAGGGUGCGUAGGCGGCGCGGUAAGUCGGGUGUGAAAUCUUGGAGCUUAACUCCGAAACUGCAUUCGAUACUGCCGUGCUUGAGGACUGGAGAGGAGACUGGAAUUUACGGUGUAGCGGUGAAAUGCGUAGAUAUCAGGAGGAACACCUGUGGCGAAAGCGGCUCACUGGACCAUAACUGACGCUGAUGCACGAAAGCUAGGGGAGCAAACAGG
rnacentral:rRNA from 1 species